AUUGAACGCUGGCGGCAGGCUUAACACAUGCAAGUCGAGCGGAGAGAGGUAGCUUGCUACUGAUCUUAGCGGCGGACGGGUGAGUAAUGCUUAGGAAUCUGCCUAUUAGUGGGGGACAACAUUCCGAAAGGGAUGCUAAUACCGCAUACGCCCUACGGGGGAAAGCAGGGGAUCUUCGGACCUGGCGCUAAUAGAUGAGCCUAAGUCGGAUUAGCUAGUUGGUGGGGUAAAGGCCUACCAAGGCGACGAUCUGUAGCGGGUCUGAGAGGAUGAUCCGCCACACUGGGACUGAGACACGGCCCAGACUCCUACGGGAGGCAGCAGUGGGGAAUAUUGGACAAUGGGCGGAAGCCUGAUCCAGCCAUGCCGCGUGUGUGAAGAAGGCCUUUUGGUUGUAAAGCACUUUAAGCGAGGAGGAGGCUCUUAAGGUUAAUACCCUUGAUGAGUGGACGUUACUCGCAGAAUAAGCACCGGCUAACUCUGUGCCAGCCGCCGCCGUAAAAC
rnacentral:rRNA from 1 species